rnacentral:rRNA from 1 species
CAUCUACGGAGAGUUUGAUCCUGGCUCAGGACGAACGCUGGCGGCGUGCUUAACACAUGCAAGUCGAACGAUGAAGCCAGCUUGCUGGUGGAUUAGUGGCGAACGGGUGAGUAACACGUGGGCAACCUGCCCCCGGCUCUGGGAUAACUCCAAGAAAUUGGUGCUAAUACCGGAUAUUCACAUUUCUCCGCAUGGGGGUUUGUGGAAAGUUUUUCGGCUGGGGAUGGGCCCGCGGCCUAUCAGCUUGUUGGUGGGGUGAUGGCCUACCAAGGCGACGACG